CACAAGCGGUGGAGCAUGUGGUUUAAUUCGAUGCAACGCGAAGAACCUUACCAGCCCUUGACAUCCUCGGAAUCCUGCAGAGAUGCGGGAGUGCUUCGGGAGCCGAGAGACAGGUGCUGCAUGGCUGUCGUCAGCUCGUGUCGUGAGAUGUUGGGUUAAGUCCCGUAACGAGCGCAACCCUUGCCCUUAGUUGCCAGCGCGUCAAGGCGGGAACUCUAAGGGGACUGCCGGUAAUAAACCGGAGGAAGGUGGGGAUGACGUCAAAUCAUCAUGCCCCUUAUGACCUGGGCUACACACGUGCUACAAUGGCAGGUACAGAGGGCUGCGAAGCCGCGAGGUGGAGCGAAUCCCAGAAAACCUGUCUCAGUCCGGAUUGAAGUCUGCAACUCGACUUCAUGAAGGCGGAAUCGCUAGUAACCGCGAAUCAGCAGGUCGCGGUCGAAUACGUUCCCGGGCCUU
rnacentral:rRNA from 1 species